rnacentral:rRNA from 1 species
UGUGGUAGCAUAAUCACUAGGUUUUUAAUUGGAAUUUUGUAUGAAUGAUUGAACAAGAGAAAAACUGUCUUUAUAUUAAAGUUUGAAUUUAACUUUUAAGUGAAAAGGCCUAUUAUUCUAAACGGACCAUAAAACCCUAUAAUACUUUUCCUUACUUGUUAAUAUUUUAUUUCAUUUUGUCGCCCCACCAUUCAAAUUUAAUUUUUUGUUAUGUUGGGGAAACAAAAUCUAUAAUUUAUAUUAACUGCUUGAAGAGAAUUUAAUGAUUUAUUGCCCCCCUCGCAAUUUAUCCCUUCUCCCCAUUAAAAAUAUUACCCCCCUUUUUGUAUAACACCCGCUUUUUUUUUUUAAAAAGCUCCUCUAAAAAAUUCAUUUUUUUACAUC